UCCACGCCGUAAACGAUGGAUACUAGCUGUUCGAUCUUCGGAUUGAGUGGCUAAGCGAAAGUGAUAAGUAUCCCACCUGGGGAGUACGUUCGCAAGAAUGAAACUCAAAGGAAUUGACGGGGGCCCGCACAAGCGGUGGAGCAUGUGGUUUAAUUCGAUGAUACGCGAGGAACCUUACCAGGGCUUAAAUGUAAUUUGACAGGGGUGGAAACACCUUUUCCUUCGGGCAAA
rnacentral:rRNA from 1 species